rnacentral:ncRNA from 1 species
CAACCUCAACUCAUAUGGGACUACCCCCUGAAUUUAAGCAUAUUAAUUAGGGGAGGAAAAGAAACUAACAAGGAUUUUCUUAGUAGCGGCGAGCGAAAAGAAAUCAGUUCAGCACUAAGUCACUUUGUCUAUAUGGCAAAUGUGAGAUGCAGUGUAUGGAGCGUCAAUAUUCUAGUAUGAGAAAUUAACGAUUUAAGUCCUUCUUAAAUGAGGCCAUUUACCCAUAGAGGGUGCCAGGCCCGUAUAACGUUAAUGAUUACUAGAUGAUGUUUCCAAAGAGUCGUGUUGCUUGAUAGUGCAGCACUAAGUGGGUGGUAAACUCCAUCUAAAACUAAAUAUAACCAUGAGACCGAUAGUAAACAAGUACCGUGAGGGAAAGUUGAAAAGAACUCUG